rnacentral:tRNA from 1 species
UCCCUGGUGGCUCAGACAGUAAAGAAUCUGCCUGCAAUGCAGGAGACCUGGGUUCGAUCCCUGGAUUGGGAA